rnacentral:rRNA from 1 species
UAUUGGUCAAUGGGCGGGAGCCUGAACCAGCCAAGCCGCGUGAGGGAAGAAGGUACAGCGUAUCGUAAACCUCUUUUGUCAGGGAACAAAGGCGGGGACUAGUCCCCGGAUGAGGGUACCUGAAGAAAAAGCAUCGGCUAACUCCGUGCCAGCAGCCGCGGUAAUACGGAGGAUGCGAGCGUUAUCCGGAUUUAUUGGGUUUAAAGGGUGCGCAGGCGGUCUGUUAAGUCAGCGGUCAAAGCCCGGGGCUCAACCCCGGUCCGCCGUUGAAACUGGCAGUCUCGAGUUGGAGAGAAGUAUGCGGAAUGCGCGGUGUAGCGGUGAAAUGCAUAGGUAUCGCGCAGAACUCCGAUUGCGAAGGCAGCAUGCCGGCUCCACACUGACGCUGAGGCACGAAAGCGUGGGUAUCG